rnacentral:rRNA from 1 species
UACGAAGGGGGCUAGCGUUGUUCGGAAUUACUGGGCGUAAAGCGCUCGUAGGCGGAUCUGUAAGUCAGGGGUGAAAUCCCGGAGCUCAACCUCGGAAGUGCCUUUGAUACUGCGGGUCUCGAGUCCGGAAGAGGGGGGUGGAAUUCCUGGUGUAGGGGUGAAAUUCGUAGAUAUUAGGAGGAACACCAGUGGCGAAGGCGGCUCACUGGGCCGGUACUGACGCUGAGGUGCGAAAGCGUGGGGAGCAAACAGG